rnacentral:rRNA from 1 species
CUACAGAGAGUGCAAGCGUUAAUCGGAAUUACUGGGCGUAAAGCGCGCGUAGGUGGAAACUUUAGUCGGAUGUGAAAGCCCUGGGCUUAACCUAGGAAUGGCAUCCGAUACUGGGUAUCUAGAGUAUGGUAGAGGGAAGUGGAAUUUCCGGUGUAGCGGUGAAAUGCGUAGAUAUCGGAAGGAACACCAGUGGCGAAGGCGGCUUCCUGGACCAAUACUGACACUGAGGUGCGAAAGCGUGGGGAGCAAACAGGAUUAGAAACCCGAGUAGUCC